UAAAACCCUCUGCGCUCCAGGAAACCGCUGAUGUGAUUCCCAGCUCUGUGGAUCAUUUCUGUUAUGUUCUAGAACUUCAUGUAGGUGGAACAGGUGCGUUUGUGGAUAGCCUCUGUCAUGCAGCAUGGCGUUUGGAGUUGUUGAUGAACAGUCAAACUCUGUAAAAUAUUUGAAGAGAUUUAUUCUGAGCCAAAUCUGAGUGACCAUGGCCCAUGACAUAGCCCUCAGGAGGUCCUGAGGACACGUGCCCGAGGUGGUGGGGCGCAGCUUGGUUUUAUGGAUUUUAGGGAGGCGUGAGACAUCAAUCAAUACGUUUAAGAAAUACAUCGGUUUGGUUCAGAAAGGUGGGACAGUUCAAAGUGAAUUCAAACAUUUUCUGGUUGACAAUUGGUUGAGUUUGUCUGAAGACCUGGCAUCCAUGGAAAGGAAUGUUCAGGUUGAGAUAAAGGAUUGUGGAGACCAAGUUUGAUUGGUGCAGAGGAAGCUCUCAGAUAGCAGACUUCAGAGACAGCAGGUUGUGAAAUGUUUCUUAUUGGACCUAAAAGGGUGCCUGGCUCUUAGUUGAUUAUCUCCUGGAUCUGGAAAGGAAGGAAAACAAAGGGGAAGGGGAUUCUCUAUAGAAUGUCGGUUUUUCCCGCGAGAAACUUUGCAGGGCAAUUUCAAGGUAUGGCAAGGAAAUAUAUUUUGGCGUAAAACAUUUUUUUUUUCCUUGUCUCAUAAUGUUACACCAGAGUGAGACUGGGAAGUAAGUCACGAUAUAUAGGGUCAAAUAAAACACAUCUGGUGAGAAUGGAUAGUUUGUAGGGCAUGACUCCCCAGACACUUUUGAUAGGAAUUUGGGCAAGAUAGGAAAUCAGAACUUAGUCCUUGUGGUAUUCACCCAAGCUGUUGAAUGUACGUAAUUCACUCCUCUUUAUGGAUAUGAUGUAGUUCGUUCAUCUGUGUGGAUAUGAUGUAAUUCACUCGUCUUUAUGGAUAUGACAUACUUCACUCAUCUUUGUGGAUAUGAUGUAAUUCAUUCAUCUGUGUGGAUAUGACGUAAUUCACUCGUCUUUGUGGAUAUGAUGUAAUUCAUUCAUCUGUGUGGAUAUGACGUAAUUCACUCGUCUUUGUGGAUAUGAUAUAAUUCAUUUAUCUGUGUGGAUAUGAUGCAAUUCAUUCAUCUGUAUGGAUAUGAUGUAAUUCACUCGUCUUUGUGGAUAUGAUGUAAUUCACUCAUCUUGUGGAUAUGACGUAAUUCACUCGUAUUUGUGGAUAUGAUGUAAUUCAUUCAUCUGUGUGGAUAUGACGUAAUUCACUCAUCUUUGUGGAUAUGAUAUAAUUCAUUCAUCUGUGUGGAUAUGAUGCAAUUCAUUCAUCUGUGUGGAUAUGAUGUAAUUCACUCAUCUUUGUGGAUAUGAUGUAAUUCAUUCAUCUUGUGGAUAUGACGUAAUUCACUCGUCUUUGUGGAUAUGAUGUAAUUCAUUCAUCUGUGUGGAUAUGAUGUAAUUCAUUCAUCUGUGUGGAUAUGAUGUAAUUCACUCAUCUUGUGGAUAUGACGUAAUUCACUCGUCUUUGUGGAUAUGAUGUAAUUCACUCAUCUUGUGGAUAUGACGUAAUUCACUCGUCUUUGUGGAUAUGAUGUAAUUCACUCGUCUUUGUGGAUAUGAUGUAAUUCAUCUGUGUGGAUAUGAUGUAAUUCAUUCAUCUGUGUGGAUAUGACGUAAUUCACUCGUCUUUGUGGAUAUGAUGUAAUUCAUUCAUCUGUGUGGAUAUGAUGUAAUUCACUCGUCUUUAUGGAUAUGACAUACUUCACUCAUCUUUGUGGAUAUGAUGUAAUUCAUUCAUCUGUGUGGCUAUGACAUAAUUCACUCAUCUUUGUGGAUAUGAUAUAAUUCAUUCAUCUGUGUGGAUAUGAUGCAAUUCAUUCAUCUGUGUGGAUAUGAUGUAAUUCAUUCAUCUGUGUGGAUAUGAUGUAAUUCAUUCAUCUGUGUGGAUAUGAUGUAAUUCACUCGUCUUUGUGGAUAUGAUGCAAUUCAUUCCUCUGUGUGGAUAUGAUGUAAUUCACUCAUCUUUGUGGAUAGGACGUAAUUUACUUGUCUUUGUGGAUAUGAUGUAAUUCACUCAUCUUUGUGAAUAUGAUGUAAUUCAUUCAUCUGUUUGGAUAUGACGUAAUUCACUCGUCUUUGUGGAUAUGAUGUAAUUCAUUCAUCUGUGUGGAUAUGAUGUAGUUCACUCAUCUUUGUGGAUAUGACCUAAUUCACUCGUCUUUGUGGAUAUGACCUAAUUCACUCAUCUUUGUGGAUAUGACGUAAUUCAUUCAUCUGUGUGGAUAUGAUGUAAUUCACUCGUCUUUAUGGAUUUGCUGCAA
rnacentral:lncRNA from 10 species